AUGUGUUUUGUAUUCUCAGCCAAAAUGCUAACAAUAGCACACAACACGGUGACAAGUAGAAGUACAAGGGCCACUGAGUGUGACUAUUUCCCCAAUAUAUCAUGGCGACACAAACAUCUGUUACUAAAUAGCAGGGAUGGUCUAUGGCACUCUUGCAGGAUGUCACAAGCACCAUUGAAGAUUCAAGGAGUAAAGCGGAAGGGAGAAAUGGCAGUGAUCAUCUAUAAACUCAGAACAAUGUUCAGUGAUCACUUGUCUCAAAAGAUGGAAACCAGGCCCAACUCAGCAGUGUAAAUGAACCUGAAACUCAAAGGCCAUCUCAAGGAGUCUGAACCCAAGCAAACCAAAACAAGGUAAUGAUUCCCAGUGGAUGAUGGAAGACCUUACACAUUGUCUUGGCAGAUGCUGAGCAUGGGCUUGUUUUAUAUUAUUCAAAAGUGAUAAGUGGGAAAAUUAAGAAAGGUUUCCUAAGUGGUUUGUUUGGAAAGUUUGUAUUAUUUAAAGACAAACUAAUUGACAUUCAGGCAUUGCUCUCUUAACACAAGCAAAUUUCUCGGAAAAUAAUUGAGCAUUUAAACCACUAUGUAAAAAAAAAAUUUAAGAAAUUAACAAUUAAACAUAGGCUAAAGUAGCUCUCCUAAACUUCUUAACCUAUCACAGUGCCAGAUCCACAGGGCUUAAGGGUAGAAGUUAUCUAUGACCUUUGUGGGAAUAAAAAGUAUCAGCAUCAAAUCA
rnacentral:lncRNA from 1 species